CUUCGGACUCUUUUUUCCCUUCGUCACAGCUGUAAAUAUUUCCAUUUCUUUAGGUUGCUUACAGAUAUUGAAAUGAAUAUCCUCGUUCAUUUGCUUUUUCCAUUGCUGAUGAUUUUUCUCUUCGUCGCCUUUCAAGCUUCGCCAAAUGAUAUAAACUGUACGGCUGUGAUAAACAAACAAAACUAUGACUGCAUAAAUGCCACUGGAGUAUUGUUGCGUGAAAAGCGAAAGGCUCGGUGGCGUAAAAGGCGUAGGAAAUCAAAAAAGUGUCGUAUCAGAAUAUUUAGAAAAAAAUGUGGUCGAAAAAGAAGGAAACGG